rnacentral:rRNA from 1 species
UACGUAGGUCCCGAGCGUUGUCCGGAUUUAUUGGGCGUACAGCGAGCGCAGGUGGUUUAUUAAGUCUGGUGUAAAAGGCAGUGGCUCAACCAUUGUAUGCAUUGGAAACUGGUAGACUUGAGUGCAGGAGAGGAGAGUGGAAUUCCAUGUGUAGCGGUGAAAUGCGUAGAUAUAUGGAGGAACACCGGUGGCGAAAGCGGCUCUCUGGCCUGUAACUGACACUGAGGCUCGAAAGCGUGGGGAGCAAACAGG